rnacentral:rRNA from 1 species
CUUGNGUWAWGGGAAAAUUGUUWACGAUUGCAGUAUUUUUAACUGUANUAAGGUAGCAUAAUUAAUUGUUUUUUAAAUAAAAAUUAGUAUAAACGGGGAUAUAAGUGAGAAACUNUAUUAACCCUAAUAAAUAUAAAUUACUCGCUAGGUAAAAAAGCCUACAAAAAUUAAAAAGACAACAAGACCCUAAAAACUUUAAAAACCAACCUACUCAAUAGGCCACUUAAUUUAACUGGGGCGGUUAAAAUUCUAAACAACUUAAAUUACAACAAACUGACUUCCAUAAACUUUCCUGAAAACAAAAAGUUACUUUAGGGAUAACASCGCAAUUUUUUAAAAAARAUCUCAUUAACUAAAAAGCUUGCGACCUCAAUGUUGAAUUAANAUUCUUUUCGAAGCAUA